rnacentral:rRNA from 1 species
GACGAACGCUGGCGGCGUGCCUAAUACAUGCAAGUAGAACGCAGUUGCGAAGGGGUGAGUAACGCGUAUGUAAAUGCCUCAUUGCGGGGGAUAAAUAUUGGAAACGUUAGCUCAAACCGCAUUCUGUGAGAUGGAUCUGUGUUGUAUUGGAUAGUUGGUGAGGUAAAGGCGCACCAAGGCGCAGAUACAUAGCCGACCUUCGCGGGUGAUCGGCCAAACUGGGACUGGGACACGGCCCAGACUCCUACGGGAGGCAGCAGUAGGGGAUCUUCGGCAAUGGGCGGAAGGCUGGCCGCGCAACGCCGCGUGAGUGAAGGGGGGUUUCGGAUCGUAAAGCUCUGUUGUGAGAGAAGCGGUACCUAACCAGAAAGGGACGGCUAACUACGUGCCAGCAGCCGCGGUAAUAC